GAUCAGAUUCUAGCUACAUCACUCAGAAAUUUUAUUGUUUAAUGUCAUAGAUUAAUUCUUAAACAACUAAAGCCAUGGCAGAUUUAAUGAGGAAAAGGGCCAAAUUAUGGACAUGUCUAACUUUGUUGUCUUGAGGAUUCAUUCAUUUUUCCAGUAUUUUUAUCAGUUACUAUAUAUUAAGUAUUUUUCAAAAUGUUAGGGAUGCAAAUGUAAUGAGUCAUGACCUUUGACCCAAAUAAUUUUAUGAUCUAAAUGUUUUCUCAUAAUAUGGUCUGCCAACCACCUGAGAAUCACCUGAGGAGCUUGAUAAAAAAACACCUAUUUCUGAACCCCAAUCCAAACCAUUCCCAACUUGAAUGUACAGGUGCCUCAGGUAGGUCUAAUAUAUGCUGCUAAUUUUGAGAAUAAAUGGUCUAAUGUGAUAAAAGACAGGAUUAGGGGUGAAAACAGAUAUAUCAAGGUUAUUACAAGUGGUACUGAGAAAAAAUAGGUGGAUGGUGAGUCUAUUAACUGAAAUUGAGAUUAGAGGAGACAGUGUCACCAUUGGGAGUAGAUAAAAUAUUCUGAAGCAUACUCAGGUAGAUGAAUCAAAUAGAUAUCUGUCAAUUAGGGUACUGGAAAUAAAUAUCUGGGAGUCAUCAGCAUAAAGAUUAUCACUGAUAUUGGUCAUAUUACUAAAGAAGAAUAUUCCUGAGUAUAGCAAGAUUUUUUUUUUUUCCUGUGUUCAAGCCAUGUGGAAAUUCCUGGGCCAGGGAUCAAACCCUCACCACAGCAGUGACCAAGCUGCUAAGUGACAAUGCCAGAUUCUUAACUCACUGCAUCAUAAAGGAACCACAAGAUUUAUUGUUUUUAAAGAAUGUUUUAAAAAAAGGAUAAUAAUAAGAAAAAAACAAAAAAACAAAAAACACCAAAGCAAGCAGAGAACAUAAAGUAACAGAAGCAAGGGGAAAAAUAAAAGCAACUGAAGGAUUUCAAAAUUACAUAUAUUAACAUUUGAAGAGUUGGUCUGUCUUCAGCCCUGGUCAGAUUACAAGACUCCCAUGAAGAUAGGAUUCUCCUCCACUGCCUGUUCCAUCAUGUUGAUUAGCUUCAUUAUCCACAUUGAUCUUUUCUAUAGGCAACAUUCAACCCUCAGCACCUGCCGAUCUCAUAUUCUCUUAGGUCCAAAGGCUUUCAUGCUGAGAGGAGCUAUCCUCUCCCCAUGAAUAAAACAAGUUCUAGCCCUACCUCUCAUGGAUCAAAGUGUGUCUAAUGCUUCCACACAUCAACAAAUCAGUAGGACCAGGGAAGUACAAUAGGCUGAUUGUCUUAAGUCCCUAGGAACUCAUCUACAGGCACAGUGGUUGGGUUAACUCCCACUACAACCACCACUAGGACCACCAAAUGAGAUGACCUGAGAUUCAGAAAGAGGACAGACGAGAAAAAAAAACAUGUAAUAGCUUUAGGAAGUAGGGAUGGAGAUGAAGUAGUCACGCAGGACACAAAUGUCAACAUCAUCGAGUAUGGAUGCCAUGCUCACUGUUGAAGGAAUAUAACUUCCUUGUCUUUUUGAAAACUAGGAUCAAUUUCCUGUCUUCAGUCUCCUGGUUUCUCUCCCAUUCACUAUUAUUCUUCAAAGAUCAGUAGUUUGGCAAUCUAAUUUCCUACUUACUUCAAUACCCUAGGAAGUCAUAAAUCCUGACUGGGGUCCUUGAACUCAUUUCAGACCUCUAUUUUGGUGUCAUAAUGUAUAUACAUAUCUGACUGUGAGAUGCAUUAAAUAUAACUACUCAUUUCCAUAAUCAUUCAAAGUUUCAUAUUGUACUAAAUAAGACUCACUGAACUUUUUUUAAACUGUUCUCUGUGCUUUGUCCAUGGAAGAAUGCUGCUGAAAGGGCAGCCUUAGAUAAUUCACAUAGCUAAAGGUCAUGAAGGAGGAAUAGGAAGAAUGAUAGAGUUGCUCAUAAAAGAAGACAAGUGAUAUUAAGCUGAGGCUAUUUGAGUGUAAAGAAAUUGACUAAUGACUAGGAAGAGAGAGGAAGUUUGAUUGAAAAAAUAUAUACAAAUACUCUAAAUACUGUGAUAUUAUAGUUAUUAAAACAUAAACUUUAUAAAAGAGGAAAAUAUAUUUAAGUCAUGGAAAAUAUUGGUUAGCAAAGUACUAAAGCACCAAUAAAAUUAUAUGCAUGAUGUAUUUUAUUCUUUAUACUCUUUAUUUCCCAGAGUUUCUAAGCACUUAUUACAGCAAGAUGAGAUUAAAAGAAGAUAAACAACUGAUUGAAUUGCACUCUUCUCCACCUUUUCCAUCAAAAAAUUUAAAUUUUAUUCCUUACCCUCAAAUUUUUCUUAAAAAAAUGUACAAGAUCUUGAAGCUCUAUCUCAAGGAUUGCUAUCAGAAUUAACCCAGAAAAAGUCAUAAUGUACAAUGGUCACUCCAUUAUUUUCCAGGGUCCAGUGACUCAGGAACUUCAGCUAUUCAGAAAAUAUCCAUGAAGCUAGAAGGAAGUUAUGAUCAGAAGGUGGGAAGGUAUAAGGAAUGCUGUUAUAGAUAAGCAAUACACUGUAAAAUUUUGUUGGCUUUGGAAAGAAAUCAUGUAAGUAUAAUUUUCCCUGAAAUAUGUUAAAUAACUUUAUGCCUUAUGUGACUUGUGACUAAUUUUUCAAAGAUAAUAAUCCAAAAAUCUCAUAUAAAUCAAUUCUAAACAAAAGUAGAAAUUCCAUAAUUUGCUUGAUCUGGAGGUCAACUGAAAUAAUUUCCCUGUUGAUUUCUUUUCCCUUCCCUGUUGAUUUCUUUCCUCGUUGUUCCUUGCUCAAACCUUCCUCUUAUGCAUUUCAACUCAUUUGCUACACAUUAGCUAAACCAAUGUUUCUCAAUCUUUUUUUUUUAAAUUAUUAUCAAUACCCAGGAAUAUUUUUGGACAUUUUCCUGAUCAUCCUCCAUGAAAUUUUAAUGCCACAGGUAUUAUAUAUACUAAAUAUCUAUUAUUUUACUAUUCCUGUAUUUGUGCUUUAUGCACAACAAGAGGAAGAUUUUUUUCUGUCCCAAAGAAUCAAUUUUCAUACCCUUAGCAAUGUCAUCACCUCCAUUGAGAAUGCAUGUACUAGAGAACUUCACUAAAGAAGAGCUACUGGUGUUUAGGGACAUGCAACUCUUCAUUGCACAGAAAUGACUCCAAAAUUGCAGGACCCUUAGCUUCCUUGUAUCCUGCCCAACAAAUAUUAGUAAUAUCUUCAGUCACUGUGAUAGCAAAAAGUGCUUCCUAAGAAAAGAGAGUUUCCUUACAGAAGAAUUCCAAAUAGUAUAUGUAGGAGCUCCUGUUGUGGCUCAGAGGUUAAGAACCUGGUUAGUAUCCAUGAGGAUGUGGGUUUGAUCUCUGGCCUCGCUUAGUAGGUUAAGGAUCUGGCAUUGCUACAAACGGUGGCAUAGGUUGCAGAAGCAGCUCAAAUCCGAUGUUGCUGUAGUUGUUGUGUAGGCUAGCAACUGCAGCUCUGAUUCGAUCCCUAGCCUGGGAACUUCCAUAUGCUGCAGGUGUAGGUAUAAAAAGCAGAAAACAAAAAAACAUAGUAUAUGGAUAUAUUCCUCAUUCAUGGAGUAGAGCUUUACCUUUCCUUUACUGACUUUGGACCAGGACUAGGUAUAUGAUUGACUCCAAUGAAUUCAGUACGGAAAGAAAAAUAAUAGUAAUUUUACAGUGGAAGAACCUGGUACAUGCUGUGCCAACCAUGUGAUAAUGUUUAUAAUCCCCAGUGAUGUCAUGUGAAUAUCAUGUAUCCCUGAGAUAAGUGCACUUUGUGAUAUUCUUUUUAAAAAGGCAUAAUUCUGAUCUAAUCACAAGAAAACUAUCAGCAAAACCCAAAUCAGUGGGCAUUCUAUAAAAUAUCUGAUUGGUCAGUACUCCUAUAACUUUCAAGGUCAUAGUAACAAAGAAACCCUGAAUAACUUCACAUACCAGGGACACUCAAGAAAGAGACAUAACAGAUUAAGCCAAGCAAUAUACUCAUUUAGAUCCUGGCAUACACACCAAAAAGGACAUACAUGGUAACAUUUAAAUGAAGUCAGGAAUUUAGUUAAUAGUAAUGCACUAAUGUUAGUUUUGAUAAAUGUACUAUAGUAGCUGAAGAUAUUAACAAAAUAGGAAAUUAAAAAAGAGGUAUAUAGAACUUACUGUACUAACUCUACAAGUUUUUAUAAACCUAUAAUUAUUCCAAAAUACAAAGGUUUUUUUUUUUUUUUUCUUCUUUUUUUGGCUGCACCUGUGACACACGGCAGUUUCCUGGCCGGGGACUGAAACUGAACCACAGCGACAACCAACGUCACAGCUGCAGCAAUGUUGGAUCCUUAACCAACUGUGUGGGGCUGGGGAUCGAACCCAUGCCACCACAGAGAUAAUAUUGGAUCCUUAUCCACUGUGCCACAGCGGAAACUCUGAAAGGUUUAUUUUUAAAAGUCCCCCCUCCACAUGCACACUUCCAAACACUCUCUGUGGAAAACAGUAUGCUAAAUGGAGAAAACGAUUAGACUAACCUUUUAAAAAUGCAUGUCCAAUCA
ensembl:lncRNA